rnacentral:rRNA from 1 species
UACGGAGGAUGCGAGCGUUAUCCGGAUUUAUUGGGUUUAAAGGGUUCGUAGGCGGCUUUGUAAGUCAGCGGUGAAAUACCAACGCUCAACGUUGGGGCUGCCGUUGAUACUGCUGGGCUUGAGAUGGAUCGACGAUGGCGGAAUGUGACAAGUAGCGGUGAAAUGCAUAGAUAUGUCACAGAACACCGAUAGCGAAGGCAGCUGUCGAGGUCAUCAUCUGACGCUGAGGAACGAAAGCGUGGGGAUCAAACAGGAUUAGAUACCCUGGUAGUCCACGCCGUAAACGAUGAUAACUGGAUGUUCGGAUUUCGAUUCGAGCGUCUGAGCGAAAGCAUUAAGUUAUCCACCUGGGGAGUACGACCGCAAGGUUGAAACUCAAAGGAAUUGAUGGGGGCCCGCACAAGCGGAGGAACAUGUGGUUUAAUUCGAUGAUACGCGAGGAACCUUACCCGGGCUUGAAAGCUAGUUGCAUAGAUUAGAGAUAAUCUUUUGUAGCAAUACACCACUAGCUAGGUGCUGCAUGGCUGUCGUCAGCUCGUGCCGUGAGGUGUCGGGUUAAGUCCCAUAACGAGCGCAACCCCUAUCUUUAGUUGCCAACGGGUCAUGCCGGGGACUCUAGAGAGACUGCCGCCGCAAGGUGCGAGGAAGGAGGGGAUGACGUCAAGUCAGCACGGCCCUUACGUCCGGGGCCACACACGUGUUACAAUGGCAGGUACAGAGGGAAGCGAAACCGCGAGGUGGAGCCAAUCCCACAAAGCCUGUCCCAGUUCGGAUUGGAGUCUGCAACCCGACUCCAUGAAGCUGGAUUCGCUAGUAAUCGCGCAUCAGCCAUGGCGCGGUGAAUACGUUCCCGGGCCU